rnacentral:lncRNA from 1 species
UUGUCUAGAUUAAUGAAAGGUCUUGAGCUUUCCCUUCUGUUCUGUGUUUGGUUGGAGCUGUUGAAUGUCUGCACAGACUUCAAGGUCAAGGUCAGCUACCUGCCAAGCCCAUCACUACAGGGAGCACAGCUUUGGGGCAGCACCAGCAAUGGCAGCUCUCCACCCAGGGCUCAUGCUGUGGCCUGAGCAGAGCACAGGAUGCCUGGGCCUUGGAGCCAUUCAACUCUCAGGGGGAGAAAGCGGAGCCAAAGUGACUCAGCUUCUUCUAUCCAGACUUGAAGGUCAUCAUAUGGGGUGUCUGCGUUUAUUAUUCUCCUUGCUUGGUCCAUUUCCAGAUCUUGAGUGGCCACAAUAUCAUGCAAGUAGUGACCAUCCCCCAAUCCCCUGCAAGGUGCCACAUGUCAAGGCCCCAACAGCCUGUGUAGGAUGCACCCAGCACGAUGACUCCAGCAUCCUCUGUAGGGUGCACACAGCAGCAAUGACACCAAGAUCUUGUACAGGAUGGCACAUAGUGGUGACAGCCUCAGUGACCUCUUUUGUUCUUGAGAGAAAAAGCAAUGUGGCUUCCCAGGGUGAUCGACCAGCAGCCCUGGAUUUGCCUAGUGGAGGCCGACUGGCCUGACCUUGGAGAUUGAAAAUGCCCCUUCAUCAGCACACAACUGCCCCAGGCUAGUGCUGCAAAGAUUGAAUGAUCAGUUCCUCUAAACUGAAGCAAAUAGAGCGAGCCACUCAGCCACCGUGCCUGCAAGGCCCAGUCUGCCUAUGUGGCCUCUGCGAGGAGUAAAGGUCUCACGACCUUCCAACCACAGGGUCGACUUCAGGGAGGCCAUUUGAAUGGAAUCCCACCCAGCAGCUCCAGCAGGGCUAAGAGUCAGCAGUCGCAAGAUGCUGCAGGCCAUGGCCAUGACCCAGACCUCGCUUCCAGGAGUGAAGCUCACCCAUGUCCAGCCUUCUCGCUUGGCGGAGGCUGGGGCCACAGCCGAGCCAUCUGGCUGACCUCUGCUCUUCCGGUUCCUCCCCUCCCCUGCCCAUCUCUGAACUGCAGCCCUGGCCUCUCCUGAGGGGAUGCUUGUCCCUCUGAGCCCCUUAGUGUUUGUACUCCUUCCGUGGCGCCUGCAUCCCGCACCCACUGCAGCUCUUCGGGAAGGGGUACAACACAUUGCAAGUACUGCCCUUGCCCACUCUUUCCUCUCCUUGAACUCUCCACCUGGAGUCCUGUGAGAGGGGGGCAGCUGGCCCCACUGUUCCAGUGAGGUCAAGUCCCUGCCCCGGCUACUGACAAGCCCCACCAGCCCGCUCCUCUGCGCAUCCCUGCUCUGGUCACAAAGGAGUUGCCUUAGAGACCCACUGUAGACGGAGGGAGUCACUCACCCAGCUGGCGAGGACUUGGCAGCUCCGCUGAGAGUGCCGUGCUACACCUGGUCCCCUUGGGCAGGACCCAGAAAAGAGACAUGAAGACAUUGGCCCUGCCCACCUCGAUCCACUUAGGAGAAUAACCCACAUGCAGCCUGUGAACAGGCAAGACAGCCUCAUAAUUAAAUGCUAAUGUGAAGGACUGGAAGCGGCGCUGGAUUCUGAGGCGGAAGAGAUCCCAGAGGGCUGGAGGAGGCCGAAGGAGUCCGCAGAGAGAGUGGAGCCUGAAUUCAGGUUUGAAAGACCCGCAGGAUUUGGAGGAGGGCAGAGAGCAUUUUAGGCCAGGAAAACGAAUCACUCAAAACACUGCCUCCUUCACGUCGAGGACAGAGCGCCGCUGUCAC